rnacentral:lncRNA from 1 species
GCCAUAUUUGCCCAGCUACAAUUCUAUUAUUAUGGAACAAAGGGAGAACAGAUUUGGUUGCUCACCAGCAGUCUUCUCCAUACCUUGCGUCAUGGAUAAGGCCCAGAAGUUCCUGCAUGCAUUUAAAGGGGUCUUUGACCGCAGCUGUUUGAGAUCCGUGGUUUGCCAUCAGGCACCAUAAGAAGGGAUGAAGUGACUUUCACAGCAGAGGAUAAGGGUGGAUCACCGACACCCAGAGAGGUCUAUAGAGUCAGUGAGAGCUGAGAUGAGGCCAGCCCAGCCAAAGAACACCAUUGUUCCUGACCAAGCUGAGAGAGACUAGACCACAGGUUAAACCAGCUGCCAAUGUCAACUGCAGAGGCCAGCCAGGUGGGCAGCAACAGGACCGCCAAGGAGCACCACAAAAAACAGAGGACACGACAUAGCUCUGAGGACCCACCACUCCACUGCCUUAAGCCCACAGAGCCAGACAGAAGACAUGGAGGAGUGGUGAUGGUUGGGGUGGUAACCAGGGUUGGUAAAGAACGUGAUGAACUGGACGUGCCCUGUCCCAAGAGGCAUCAUCCACUACACACUUCCAGCCAAUUAGAUGAGGUUCACACAUGACCAUAUGACAUGCCUCUGGGAGGAAGCAGGAUCCCAAUAACAAACCAAACUCAAGCACAAGAAUGGAGGCUGUGUUUAUAGGUGGCAAAACUACCAGACCAUGGCAUGGGACAUCUCAGACACCUCAGACAUCCUAAUGAAGCAUCACAAUUGAUUCAGCUGCAGCCCAUCUGUCAAAUGAACAGGCCAUAGUAAGACUAACUCCCAUGGUCCAUUUGCUUCUUCUAUAUUGACACAACCUCAGCUUCCUGUCUUUCCUGCAGAAACAGGCAUCUCUUUCCGAAUUUCUCCGUUGUUGUCAACAGCACCAUCAUCUUUGUAAUCCCUCAAGAUUAUAAGCUUAGGAUAAUUUAUUUCUAACUUAGUCCCCUCAAACCAAUCUAUCAUCAUGUUUUGCUUAUUGUUUUUUCAGAAUGUCUAGCAGCUCUGUUCCUUUCUGAAGAUGCCACUGUAAUUAAUAUAAACCUUAAUACGUCAUGUUUCUCAUACCAUCUUAUCUCUUCUGUCUUCAAGUCCUUGUCAAUAUAGCUGGUAGAAUACACUUUAAGACUUGCAUGGUUUCUCUCUAUAGCCAAAGAGUGUGUGUAACCUGCUCAAAUUAUUUAACAUGCAAGUCUGUAGUGCUAUGUGCCAGGGACUGUUCUGAGUGCUUUACAAGUAUUAACAACCAUCCGAGGUAGGUGUUAUUAUUGCCCCUGUUUUAUAAAUGAAGAAACUGAAAGAUAAAUAACUUGCCUAAGGUUAUAAAGCUUGUAAGUGUCAGAGCCAGAACUCAAAGGCACAGCAGUCUGGCUGCAGGGUCUGUGCACUUACUGUGAGGCACUUACUGAUAAUACCACACCACUACUACCACCUCUCAAUCAGUGUUGGUCAUCACCACCAUCAACCUUUACCACGAUCUCCCCCCAAACCCUCGACUCCAAUUAUCCCCAUUUCUGAGUUUCUGUGGGCAGAAUAGGAUGAGAAAAAUUCUGUAAAUGGUGAGAAAAUGGCUUGUUUGGUAGGUUUAAACAAGGAAAUCAUAGGAAAUAACGCUGAAAUGUGUGUAAGCAAUCUCUCUGUGAAGGAUCAGGCUAUAAUUAUAGGCUGAUCUGCUCAUGAAUGCC